CCUACGGGAGGCAGCAGUGAGGAAUAUUGGUCAAUGGACGCAAGCCUGAACCAGCCAUGCCGCGUGCAGGAUGACGGCCCUACGAGUUGUAAACUGCUUUUGUACGAGGGUAAACGCAGACACGUGUACCUUUCUGAAAGUACUGUAUGAAUAAGGAUCGGCUAACUCCGUGCCAGCAGCCGCGGUAAUACGGAGGAUCCAAGCGUUAUCCGGAUUUAUUGGGUUUAAAGGGAGCGUAGGUGGGCUGAUAAGUUAGAGGUGAAAUUCCGAGGCUCAACUGUGAAAUUGCCAUUGAUACUGGUCGGCUAGAGAGUAGUUGCGGUAGGCGGAAUGUGUGGUGUAGCGGUGAAAUGCUUAGAGAUCAUGCAGAACACCGAUUGCGAAGGCAGCUUACUAAACUGCUACUGACGUUGAGGCACGAAAGCGUGGGGAGCAAACAGGAUUAGAUACCCCAGUAGUC
rnacentral:rRNA from 1 species